AAAUCAAAAAUUCCAAGGCCUCUUAGGUGGUACUUACUUUAUUAAAUAAUUUUUUAGAAGAAGUUUAUAUACGAAACUAUCAUCUUUGAGAGAAAUCCGAGCUGUGCAAGUGGGAGAUUAGUAAUUGUGCACCAAGGUCCCUUUCAAUUCCGGUUUUGUUGGGUCAAGUUUCUCAUAAAUGCUUGGUUUGCCCAUCCCUAUAUAAUGAAAACUCCUACUCCUAGAAGCCCCGAGAAGAUAAUUGCAGUAAAAUUUUGAAAAUACAAAACCGGGCUCACAUGACACGAGCGAGGAGUUGGACACGGUAUUACUUGUCCAUUCUCCUAUCUGCGGGAAGGCCGUGCCGAUCGGGUAUAAAAGGAUCAAAAAAUGAAAAAAAAUUGCCAAGCUUGUGGUUUAUUUCUCGAGUAUAUACCCCAAAUCUUGCGGAUCCGGAUAGUCAUAAACUAAACUUCCGAAUAGACCUGAGAUCUUUAUCAACAUAGAGGAUGACAAGGAAAUCCAAUAUCCAAAAGAAAUAAACCAUCAGUUGGGCUUAAACUUAAGAAGUAGUUAGCGCGAAAAAUGAGUUA
rnacentral:lncRNA from 1 species